rfam:Ictidomys tridecemlineatus contig105007, whole genome shotgun sequence.
UAGGGGAGUCAGGGCCAGGAGCCCCCCCCUGAGCCCCGGGUAACUCUACAAGUAGGGGGGCA